GAUCAUGGCUCAGGAUGAACGCUAGCUACAGGCUUUAAACACAUGCAAGUCGAGGGGAAACGACAUCGAAAGCUUGCUUUUGAUGGGCGUCGACCGGCGCACGGGUGAGUAACGCGUAUCCAACCUGCCCACACUUGGGGAUAACCUUGCGAAAGUAAGACUAAUACCCAAUGACGUCUCUAGAAGACAUCUGAAAGAGAUUAAAGAUUUAUCGGUGAUGGAUGGGGAUGCGUCUGAUUAGCUUGUUGGCGGGGUAACGGCCCACCAAGGCGACGAUCAGUAGGGGGUUCUGAGAGGAAGGUCCCCCACAUUGGAACUGAGACACGGUCCAAACUCCUACGGGAGGCAGCAGUGAGGAAUAUUGGUCAAUGGACGAGAGUCUGAACCAGCCAAGUAGCGUGCAGGAUGACGGCCCUAUGGGUUGUAAACUGCUUUUAUAAGGGAAUAAAGUUAGUCUCGUGAGACUUUUUGCAUGUACCUUAUGAAUAAGGACCGGCUAAUUCCGUG
rnacentral:rRNA from 1 species